rnacentral:rRNA from 1 species
UACGUAGGAUGCAAGCGUUGUCCGGAAUUAUUGGGCGUAAAGGGCUCGUAGGCGGUCUGUCACGUCGGGAGUGAAAACUCAGGGCUUAACCCUGAGCCUGCUUCCGAUACGGGCAGACUAGAGGUAUGCAGGGGAGAACGGAAUUCCUGGUGUAGCGGUGAAAUGCGCAGAUAUCAGGAGGAACACCGGUGGCGAAGGCGGUUCUCUGGGCAUUACCUGACGCUGAGGAGCGAAAGUGUGGGGAGCGAACAGG